rnacentral:lncRNA from 1 species
AGAAACACGCCAGGCUCCCAACCACUACACCAGCCCUCAGCGCCUCAGUUUCCCGCUCCAGCCUGCGAAUGGGCUCCGGGGACGUCCAAGGCGAGGCGCCAGAGAAGCCACAUCAACUCAGCUCCUUACUCGACUCCUGCAUGGGCGAUACAGUCUCGCCCCAACCUCUCUAAGAGCCCCCGCUUCCCCGUUCUCUAUGUUAAGGCCUUGGAGCCUUCCCCAACUACUCGGACCUAUUUCCUCAAGGCUGCAAGCCCCAUGCCGCCUCACCGCGGGUCCUCGAACUCAACGAAGGCGAAGGGCGGUCCCCCGCGGCGAUUCUUGAGGUCGAUGUCGCGGAUAGCGCCGUAUUUGUAGAACACGUCCUCAAUGUCCUUGGUUCGGAUGUCUGGAGGUAAGUUACCCACGUAGAUGCGGCAAUCGUUGUUCCCUGCGGGGCCACGAAUCACACCACCUCCCGACAUGGCGGUGACGAAAAGCGCGGACUCGAGAACAGGCCUUCCCACCAAGCCUAGCGCACGGCAGAGCGAGCCCGCAGCGGCACCACGUCUCCCGCGGCCCCUCCAAAAUGGCGCCUUUAUCAGCUCGGCGCACGGAUAUGGGGGGGAGACAGAGGAAGAGAAGCGGAAGGAAACAGCGAUUCGAUCCCAACACGCACGCGCGGGAGCGCAACGGGUGCUGCGAGGGCUACGUUCAGCGCACGCGCACGCACGCGCGACGUCACCCUCCCCACGAAGGGGGUAAAAAAGUCCCCCGCGUUCCCAGCUUGGGGUGGUUUGCGAACAGAGUGACCAGCCGUUUGGUAAAAGUUAAAUAACGAACUUUCGUUAAAGGAGCUAGUCAUCCAGGUCGGGUCUUGAAGGAUGGUCGAUUUCUCCAGGAAUGAGGAUCUUUGAAAGCAACUCGGCGCCUUCAAAGCACUUGGUGAAACCUAGCCUAAAGCGUUGUCCCACCAUGCUCUGCGGCGAUAACGGCCUUUGGCGGGAAAGAGUCUCGGAGGCGGGGCCAAAGGGGGACGGCCCGGGCGGUUGCUCCGGAAACCCGGGUAUCUUCGUAGGGUGCGUCUAAUCCAGAGCUGAGUUGCGGGUGAUUGAACGGAGAGCUGGGGCGUUGGUUUGUCUUCCCGCCCCUGCUGCGAAUAGACCGUGGCUGCUUAGACAGAUGUGUCUAAUUUAGCGAAACCGAUUUAGAUUCCUUAAUCCUCUUCAUUAAGUACCGUUCCGCCUUCUCGUCAGAACUUUGCAUAGCUCGGGUCAGCACUCCUAGUGCUAGUCGCAGUGGGUCCGUAUCCCGACCGGCAACGUGGUACCCGCCAACCAGAAGGGGUAACACCGUACCGCCUAUGGGACCCACACCUUUUUAUCUCUUGUUAGUCGCCUGUCCGUGGGACUAGCGCAGAAUGCCUGCAGAAUGAAUCGUUUCUGUUGUUUCCUUUCAAAGAACGAGAAGGAAGAAAGGGUGCGUGUGUGCAGUCCUUUUUUCAAAAGUUUUCCCUAAAAGUUACUGAUACACCA